GCUGCCCCUAGAAGUGUUGCAGGUGUGGCUGCUGUGUCACAUGCACAUCGGCAGGUGGCAGAGAGGAGAGAGGUGUGUCUGUGAUCAGUGUCCUGGCCUAUGAACAUCUGAAUGAGUAGCAGCCUAAGAUU